rnacentral:lncRNA from 1 species
UUUUCAGAUGUCCAGUUCCUCGGAUAAAUCCUCAUUCUUCAGGCGUAUCAAAUUGCCCAUAAUCAGGAAUUAACCCUCAGUCAAAAGGAUUCAGCAACUUAGUCGCGUGUGUGAAGGAAAAUGGGCAGUAAGCUAGAGACUUUCUGAUGGAUCCUGCAUUUCUGGACUUUCGAGAGUGGCUGCCAAGAAGACACCAAGCUCCACUAUCCUCUUAUUCUUCCUGAAGGCUUCUUCUCUCUUCUCU